rnacentral:rRNA from 1 species
CUGCUGCCUCCCGUAGGAGCCUGGGCCGUGUCUCAGUCCCAAUGUGGCCGUUCACCCUCUCAGGCCGGCUACUGAUCGUCGCCUUGGUGGGCUUUUACCUCACCAACUAGCUAAUCAGACGCGGAACCAUCGUAUACCACCGGAGUUUUUCACACUGCUUCAUGCGAAGCUGUGCGCUUAUGCGGUAUUAGCACCUAUUUCUAAGUGUUAUCCCCCAGUAUACGGCAGGUUUUCCACGCGUUACUCACCCGUCCG